AUACUCGGUGUGUGGGAUCAACAAUGUUCAUCGUUCACCACUGGGCGAUUCCUAUUCCUAUUCUUCAUGAUCGUGUCCCUAAAGCACUACCAAUAUUCACCAUCUACUACUAGCAGUAGUAGUCUACUGGUGUGAACUGGGAAGUGGAAUACAUGUAUAUGUUCUAGUCUACGAUGGUUCUGGGUGGGUUCGCUAAGCAAUUCUUUGCCGUACAAUCAGGUAUGCAUUUCAUGUAAACUUUGAACAACUUUGUUUUCAGUGCUUAGAAUUAUGAUUAGGUUAAAACGGCUUUUGCAAAUUAUGUAGUCAAUGGUCACUAGUAAGAUGCCCACAAAGUGUUUGAUGAAAUUACUGAGUGAAGGUUCUUAUUUCAGCUAUAUGUGCAUUGCCUUGAUACCCUAUCUUUUCGUUUAAGAACUAUUCCUUCUUUUUUGAGCUGAUAUAUCAGUUAAAGCCUCUUGCUUUUUGUAUAUGGGCUCUCCACCAUGCCAAAAGAUACUAUUAUUUGUCUCCAUGAAUCGUAUUCUGCUAAGAAAACCCCACAUAUCACUCGCAAAGAUUGACAUCGACACACUUCAAGUGUGUGUGUGCUCGCACGGUUGCAUGUAGUUCAUGAAUCAUGAUAUACUUGUCUUUGCAUAUAUGACUCUAAUAUACACCAAAUGGGUGACUGCUUUUUAUCUCAGUGUUUGUAUGAAAUGACCCAACUGCUGUGAGAGUGUUUCUUUACUUUAUUUGAUAUGCUUUUAGAAGAAAUUGGUUAAAAAUCUCACGUGUAUUGCUGGUGACCUUAUAAAACCCAAUUAAUGAUAAACUUCAGGUUGAAGAUGAUAUCGUCUAUAGCAUGAUCUUGCUAGCUAUAACAGCAUGGAAGAAAACUAGCUAGUGAUAGAAUAUUUAGGUGAAAUGAAUUUGAAUGUUUCAUUUAGAAUACAUCUAGCCAUAAAAGCUUUGUUCCAAUUGUGAGUGGAAGGAGGUUCAUGGCUCACUAUCUGUGGUGAAAUGUGUUUGGUGCAUUUUUGUGCAUACACCUCUAACCAAAAACAAAUUCAAUCAAAUUAAUGUAGAAAAAGAAAGAAAGAACAGAAGACAUAUAUGAUUCACUAGUUUCUCAUUUGUCCUUGACAUAAAUGGUGUUGAAGAUGCUCAUCUAUCAAUCAUGUCCAACUAUCUGCUCAUUGGGUAGCUAAGCUCAAGUGUCCCCUCCAUAUAGAAUCAUGCCCUCUUACCUUUGG